AAGCGGUUGCCUUCUGAGGGCUGAAGCGUAUAUCAGUACCAGGUUCAGACUUCGUGGGAGGCUUUAAGAGGGGGGGAAGGGCCUAUGAUAAUACAUUGGCGUGGACAUGUGCGUCUUAAGUUUGGGAAAGUGUUAUGAGAGGUGGUUGGGACCACCGAGCGUCUGCUUUGGUGUAUCUGAUGGCCCCAUUCUCCGUGAGGUUAGGCCCAUUCUCCGUGAGGUUAUGUGAUUUGAUAUGUGACCCUAUAUGCAUCUCUGUGGGUGUUUGGUUGACACUUGAGCUGUAGAGUGUGUCUGCUGUGUGACUUUUUCUUAAUUGUUUAAUCUUUAUGAGCUUCAGUUGCUCAUGUGUGCACGGAACAAUAUUUCUUAGCUAAUAGUGUUGCGAGGAUUAAGUGCUCAUAAAUGUGCCUGGCACAAAAUAAGCAAUGAAUGGAGAAACUGUGCUUCAGUGCAUUAUUUAGAUCAUGGGCUUUUAGGUCAUUUGAUUCUACUUUGUCAUUGUUUUGAGCUAUUUACCAACUCACAUUGUGGAUCACUGAUGGCAGUUCAAAUUACUUCUUGUUUACAGAAAAGUAAAUUGGAGGAGGCUCAGCUUACUUCCCUCCUCCAUCUCCAUUUGUGAGGAGGCCAGUUUUUGCCUCUUUUGCUGCUGCAUAUCAUUUUAAUUUUAAUUUUUUUUGUUUUGUUAAGAAACAGCAUCUCACUCUAUUGCCAACACUGAAGUGCAGUGGCACCAUCAUAGCUCACUGCAGCCACGACCGCUUGACAUCCUGGAUUGAAUCUAUCUUCCUGCCUCAGCCUCCUGAUUAGCUGGGACUACAGGUGUGCACCACCAUGCCCGGCUAAUUUUUUAAGUAUAGGUGAGAUCUCACUAUGUUACCCAGGCUGGUCUCAAACUCGUGGCCUCAAGCGAUCCUCCCACAUUGACCUCCCAAAGUGCUGCGAUUACAGGCAUGAGCCACUGCAGCCAGCCACUUUAAUAUUCUUGAUCUAUAAAUGUGACUUUUUUUCGGCUCGGGGAAGGGUUCUCUUAUGAGUUGGUUUUAAUACGUCACCAGUUUUUCUCAUUAAUGAGUUAAGUAAAAUCUUCAAUCUGUGUAUUUUGCCUAUUAGAGUGCCUUGUAAUUUUUUCCUGAUAGCUGAAUAUGAUGUACUUGGUAAAAUGAGCCGCAUGAUAGGUCUUUAGUAACAUGGUGAUAAGAUUUGGUUGUGAGAGGGGAAGUGUUCUAUGGUCUGCAAAAAUAAUAUAUAAACUUAGGCACAUUAAAAUUUUAAAGAGUUUAAGCAGAUAGCAGUUCAUGAAUUGGGCAUUGCCAGAUCACAUGCAGCUUAGGGCCUCUCUGAAGAGGCAUGAGGGAAGGGCUUUUACAGGCUGAACUCAGAAACAAGGCAAAGAAAAUACUUGAUUGGUUAGAGUAGAGCCUUAUUUGGAUCAUUCCAGUGGGAAGUCAAUAGUAGGAGGUUAAUUGGUGGUUUCUGAUUGGUUAAGGCCAGUUACACUGAGUUGGGUUUGGGUUUGCUUAGGUUAAGAAUUCAGGCUACUGGAGCCACCUCGGCCUAAUGGCCUCCCAAUUAAUGGUUUCAACAAGUCUUAAUGGUAAGGUUUCUUUUUUUUUUUUUUUUUUUUUGAGACAGAGUCUCGCUGUGUCACCCAGGCUGGAGUGCAAUGGCACAAUCUCGGCUCACUGCAAGCUCCGCCUCCUGCCUCAGCUUCCCGAGUAGCUGGGACUACAGGCAUCCGCCACCACACCCAGCUAAUUUUUUGUAUUUUUAGUAGAGACGGGGUUUCACCAUGUUAGCCAGGAUGGUCUCGAUCUCUGACCUCGUGAUCCGCCCGCCUCGGCCUCCCAAAGGUUUCAGUCUCUUAUCCUGAGCCCAGGGACUAUGAAUUUCACAAGUCCUUCCGAGUAAAACCCUUUCCCCUUAAGUGGGACAGGGUGGCAAGAGGGGACCAGAAUUGUUUAUUUUCCUUCUUCCAGGUCAUUUGGACACUGAUAAAACCCCAAGACGGUAGGCUCUGAUAAAAUAGUUUCUCUCCUGAGCAUUGAACAGAAUGCCGUGGUAUAUUUCAAAAUGGCUACUCUUCCUCUUCCCCUGCCAGAACCAGCUGGGGACUUUUCUCAGAUCUUCACUGUGAGAACCUGCUAGAGUCCUUGGAGAUAAAACUCACGAAAGUGUAAAGAUAGCUCUAUGGCAAGGUCUUCUUGGAGUUUUUAAUUCUCAGACUUAACCACAUUCAGCUUCCAGCAAUUCAUCAAUUAGAGUUCAGGUUUUCCUAACCUUGUUCUGGUUCCUGCAGAGGCACAAAGAUUACUGCUUGUGAGUUUCUGCUCUGGAAUGGAUGUUUUCUUUUAAAAAUGGUUUAUUGAAGUAUCAUGUACCUAUCUUAAGUGUACAGCACGAUGAUGUGUAUGCCCAUGUAACCAUCACCUAGAAGGAUGAGAACCACAAGCAUGAGAACAUGAGGAUAAAUACACUUUGGGGAAAAAGAAAACAGACAGAGGCAGCAGAGAAGGAAGACGAGAAGAAGAGAAAAAGAGAAGUAGGAAGAGGAUGAAUUCAUUUCGCUUAUCUGGCAAAUGUGUAAUCUGAGUAAUAGAGGGAACAACAGAUUGGACCCAACUAGGAUCUCCCUUGGAGUGGAUCAGACUGAUGAUUUCCACUAUCCAAAAGCUUCCUGAAUAAAAAAGAAGAAGGUGUCACCUACUUCAAUGUGACAUUGACCCCACCACUACAUCUUAAAGACCCUG
rnacentral:lncRNA from 1 species